GAGGCAUCGACAAGCUUAUCGGUAGAUGAACUUGGCAUUGUUGAUUCUGGUUCAUUGCCUUCUACCUCAAGGGCAGCAGAGGUGACAGAUUAUACAAGACAUCCAUCUGUAGCAUCUUCAACAUUAGUAAAGUUAACGACCCAUCUCGAUUUUUUCAAGGAAAGGCGUUCGUAGUUGAUGGAACAGCUCCAUAACCUUGAUUUGAACUAUGGUUCUACAAAUUCCCAAGACUUGGUCUAUAAACCAUCAUCACCAUCAUGGAGUUGACCUAGCCAAACAAAUAGCUUCAUAAAAUCCUUGGGGAAUAAUUUUGGCUGACAUGUUGUAUAUCCUUUGACUCAUUGCAUAUAUAUAUAUAUAUUUGUAUCAUUAUCCUUUGUGCUCUAAAUACUGAUUCAUUCUCUUUGUUUUCUUCAUUAUAUUUAUUUUCCUCUCUCUUUUGGUAGUGAAAGGUUGUUGAAGUUGAAAUGAAAA